CAAAGUGAUUGUCUUUAAUGCUUCUAUUGCCCUGUCAAAAUUAGCACGCUGACACCUCCUUUCCUUGCAGAAAUCGCAGCGAGAAGUAUAAAUGAACCACACCAUCAAAGAGCUGAGCAUUAAGGGAAAAGGGAAAAUCCUUCAGCAUCGCACGACCUCUUUAAAGACCUGUAGAGGCAGAGUACUUCUGGUGUGAGCGGCUACAGAGAUCACAGGGAAAAUAAACAGCAGCCUUUUGCAUGAACGGCGCUGCCGACAUUGCAUCCCACAUUCUCCCAGGGGUGACCUGCUGUGGAAAGAGCAGCAAAGAGAGGGGUUUGCUGCCCAGGACAGGGUACCACCACCUCGGAAUAUUUGGCCCAAGUCUGGAGUGGAUGUGGUAGCACCAUCAGUGAGAUCUACUCAAUGCUCAGCUGGACUGCAGCUCGAGAGGAGAGGGUAAGAACUGGCAGAGCAGGCGGCGGCUCCCCUGCCUCCUUAGAUGAGUCUGUCAGACCAGGGCACAGCCCUGUCUUUGGGCUCAUUUCUGGUAAUUAGCAGCUAAAAGAUCUUGCAAGUUGGCAUUUUGGCAGGAUAAUUAGAAAGCUGAUAGCUCCUCCUUCUCCAAAAACUUCCCAGGCUAAACCCUAAACUAGCCAUCUAGAGCUUCAUUUUCAGCGCUCCUAAAUCCGCUUUAAAUUUAUCUCAGUGGUACUCAAGCUUUCAAAACUGAUCCCGUAAAUCUGGAUGGACACCAAAACAAGGAAACUGAGCACGCCACUCAACUUCCCAGUGCCCACAGGAAAGAAAAGGAGUUAUUUAUUAAAACCACUUAAUUUGUUACUUACUUUAGUAAAGCCCUGUAAAAACAUAUAAUGUUUGUUCUCUCCAGUAUUGCUAAUUUGCACCCAAGCUUUACGGCUGCAAAUCUCAGAUAAUUCUUUCUUCCUGGGCUGCUGUUGGGUCAAGCAGCUCAUGCACGUUCUUCCUCUUCUUGUGGUCCUGACUGCUUAUUUGGCUGGUGUUUAGGAGAUCCUUUGACAGUAUUUUACUGUAAUUCACCUUAAAGGGGAAUGGUAUUUUAAACCACAAGCAUAGACUUUGCGCACUAGCUUCUGUUUUCCAGAAAAAGUGUGACAAACGGUUUGGGGCACAGAAAUAAGCAGCACAAGAUGGUGCUGUGUGUCAUCAAGGUCGGUAUCAUUUGUUCUCCAGCACCCUGUUUUUCAUUUACCGUCUCCUUUGAACCUUUUGGCUUCUCAAAUCUGAGGAGGGCGUAGCACUGGGAUCUGCCUGAGACAGGGGAAAGCCUCGAGCCAUCCUUGGAGAUACCUGGAGUCUCCUGCUUUCCUCAUAUGUUGGCUUUACUUAUAUUGACAAUAUUAUUAAUUUAAUUUUUCACCAGCUUUUUUACUUUGAGAACCCAUCAGUUAUCCCAUCCCUGAAUCCAGUCUCAUUCCUCAGUGUCUCAAUGAAAAGGACACCUAUCACAUCCCGUUUGCAGCGCGUGCAAUAUGAAGAUGGGAAAGAAUGAGUUGUCCCUGAGGAUGCUGGUCCCCCAUUGGGCUCUGCUUCACCAUUUAUUCCUAAUUGCCUAACUUCUCCCAUUUGUUGCGUUUGUUGAGUGUGUGGUUCUUAUUAGGAAGGGUCAGUGGCUCUGUAAUUAAUUAAUAAAAGCUUGGGGCAUUUCUUA